rnacentral:tRNA from 1 species
CCCUGAGAGCAUAGCUCAGUGGUAGAGCACUUAACUAGUAUGGAUUAAGAUCCUGGGUUCAGUCCCCAGCACAGGAA